GUUGCCAAGGGGUUUUCUUCCCUAUUGGAUCGAGGCGAACAAGCAAGUCCAGACCUGAUGUGGGCAGCCUUGGUGGCUGGGGGAUUCGCCGAAGUCCUCUGCUGAUUUCUGAGAAGAGCUGAAAAUUCUGUAACUUAGCUGGGCUCCAGACUUCUCCUGAGAGCCUGCUGCUUGCAGGAAGCACUGUUUCCUUCUUUUUCCAGCUUUGCCCCGGAGGAGAGAGGUGAAGGUUGGUUGGUGCAAAGGCCAGAGCUUCUGUGACUGAUGAGAUGCCGCCUAACAGUGCUGUAAGCCUUAAUGGAGUAGUGGGUGAACAAUCUCCAGAGACCAAACUCAAAGUCACAGCUUAAAGACUUCAGAAACAACCCACAGUCAUAACUGAAGGUCUUUAGGAAUCAAUAUGAUUUAUUGACAUGUGGGACCGACAACUAACCCCAGGAUUGUGCUUUGACCUUUGGAUGCACAAAUUCUUUAUAUGCUGAACACUGGAAAAAUUUGGAAUUUGGAACUUAUGUGUAGAGUUUUAUCUGGGAAAAGAACUCUCCAGUUUGAGCCUUAUUUCCACUUUUAGUCCAUUUAGAAUCGCCUUUUUAUUUUUCUUUUUCAAAAGGAUGUUGAAAAUGGAGCUAUCUAAUAUAGCUGCUAUUGUACUGUUUUUUAAACAUUGAAUAGAGAGUGAGUCAUGAAUGGGUUACACCUUGAAAGUUGUGAGUAGGACAACUUUAGUUAGUAUUGUGUCAUGGAGAAAAGAGAUGGAUUUAAUUACUACACAAGGUCAAAGUUGUUAAAGUAAUUACUAACAGUAAGAGACUUCAGAAAAGAAAUAGAAGAAAGAACAGAGGUCACUCCUGAGCUUUCUUUAUAGCAUUUUUUCAUUUCCCAACAUAGGACAUUUUUAGUAUAUCUGUUUCUGAAAAGACAUAAUAUAAGAGGCAGAUGUCCUCAAGACACGGUGUUAAACAAUUCCACUGUCCUUCUCUCACUACUUUCAGUGUUCAUAACAGUGACACUAGGGGAAAAUUACAGGUAUUAGUCCUGCAAGUAAUAUAGCAUAUGUUAUAUCCCAGACAGACUUUUUUGUGUGUGUUGAUUAAUGUACAGCCUGCCCUAUUUUUGACUAAAAUUUCUGAAAAAAAAUCCAAUGUUAAGAUAGCUACCAAAAAUAGACUCUCAUUGAAUUUGUAUUCAUUGUAAAGGUGUUAAAGUCUAAUAUAUUAUUAACAAUUAAAGUUCUUAAUAUUUAGGAUUUAUGUUCCUAAAGUUAACAUAUAUGAUAGAUACUUUGAAAUUGACUAGAGAGUAGAUUAAUACACAUGAAACCUCCCCCCACCUCUCUCAUGUUUAAGGGAGUUCACACACAUACACAAAUGAAUCAGUCUUCUUGGGAUAAAUGCAUUUUUUUCUUAUGGUACAGAAUUUUCAGCACUCUACAGUUUGAAAUUUUCAUGAAUAAUAGUCUUAAAGAAAAGCUGUUUGAAUUCUGAAGUAGAUAAUUAUUGUAUACAGGACUACAAAUACUUAUUCAAAGACAUUGUCAUCCUUUUCUUUUUUGUAUGUGUUCCAUUUACAUUGAUGUUCUUUUUUAAUUGUAUCUUAUCCUUGAAGGAUAACAAUCACACAAAUAACUCAUACAUUCUCAGCAGAAGUAAAUUAAUUUGAAAAAAUG